AGUGCGGAGGAGGCGUGGUGUGCGGAGGCGGCAGAACGUCUGGCGUUAGACGUGUGCGCUCAAGCCGACCUUCGCGAAGCUUUGGCGGCUGCCUCCAAUGACGACUGCGUGUGGCGCGUGCGUUGGUUACGCGCAGCAGCUGAAGAGCGCGUCUUACGCGCUGCACUCGCGCGCUCCGCUGACACUGCGCGACGUUUGCUACACGCCUGCGGGGAACUUGAAGCCGCUGCAGUCGCUGUUUGUGCUGCGUUGGCUGCUGCUGAUCGCGCUUU